rnacentral:rRNA from 1 species
AUUGAACGCUGGCGGCAUGCCUUACACAUGCAAGUCGAACGGCAGCACGGGAGCAAUCCUGGUGGCGAGUGGCGAACGGGUGAGUAAUAUAUCGGAACGUGCCCAGUCGUGGGGGAUAACGUAGCGAAAGCUACGCUAAUACCGCAUACGAUCUAUGGAUGAAAGCGGGGGAUCGCAAGACCUCGCGCGAUUGGAGCGGCCGAUAUCAGAUUAGGUAGUUGGUGAGGUAAAGGCUCACCAAGCCAACGAUCUGUAGCUGGUCUGAGAGGACGACCAGCCACACUGGAACUGAGACACGGUCCAGACUCCUACGGGAGGCAGCAGUGGGGAAUUUUGGACAAUGGACGCAAGUCUGAUCCAGCCAUUCCGCGUGCAGGAUGAAGGCCCUCGGGUUGUAAACUGCUUUUGUACGGAACGAAAAGGUUUGUCUUAAUACGAUGAGCUCAUGACGGUACCGUAAGAAUAAGCACCGGCUAACUACGUG